rnacentral:lncRNA from 1 species
GGAAAAAUCCCCUCGUGUUUUCCCGUCGUCGCCUCCGCCUCCGGCGGCCAUUGCCUCCGUUUCCACCUCUCGCGAUGCCGCCGCUCCGCCUCCUACUCUCGUGAGACCAUCACCGCCACCUCCGCAUUUGCCUUUGCCUUGGCUCCGCCUCUAGCUCUCGUGAAGUUGCCGCCGUCACCUCUUACCCCUCUCUCUCCCCGCACCGCCGGCAACGAGUCUCCCCCGUGACCUUCACAAGUGGCGCCUCCUCCUCCUCCAUGCCUUCCUCUUCGAGAUCUGAGGUCGGCCCGUUCUUCUUCUCCUCAUUUUUUCCUAGGGUUUUGGUUAGUGUUGUGGCCUAGGUUUAUGAUCCUGUUCUUGAUUUGGUAAUCAUAUAAGUUGGCAAACUAUGUUUUUUCUUCAAUUAUCAUCAACGGUGGUUGGUGGACGGGACUUGACCAGGCCGGCAGCUUGCCAGCUUGCUGUCCAUCACAAUUCACACAACUCAUAAGUUUGAAACCUCUCUGUUUAUGUUUUUUAUUAUAGUUUUUUUUUUUUUAUUUUUAUAACAUAUAUAUGAAAAUUUUAUUCAUAGCAUAGUUUUUCUAUUUUCCUAAAUGAAAGAUACCAAUCAGUGGUCAGAAUUCAAUUCUUGGACAGUGGAAAGCUCCCAAUUCUGCCAUUUUAAACAGAAAGCUGGUAGAAGUUUUUAUAAAAUCCUAAUCAUUCAGAUAAGUUUGUCAUUGAGUAUUACAUAGUAGGAACAGUACUAUUUCUUUUCAUGCCUUCGUGAAAACGUUUCAGUGGUCUGGGUUCUUAUAAGUUUCAGAUAAGUUUUGCAAUUGUUGGGCAGUAUGGACCGAGUCACCUAACAUCUUAGAGAAUUUCUAGUUUCAGUAAUAGAUUCUAAAUAAAACGUUAAUCGUUGAGGUGGUCUGAAUUGUUAUGUAGUAUAGAGCCAUUGCUACUUACUUUCUGGUGUCAUUACUAUAUUCUGAACAAAAAUGAAAAUCAUUGUGGUGGUCAGGCCUGCUUAAUGAGAUGGUUGUUUGAACUCUGAGCAGGAGGUGAUGCAACUGUCCACUUUUGUUCUCCAAACAAAAACUGCUCGUUAGCCACUUGUUGAUGAUGAAGGAGAUGAAUCAUCUUACUUCAUCUGUUUAUCACUUAAAAUUGCAGGAUUCAAGAGCUCCAUAUUUAAUUUGGUCAGAUUGGUUUCUGCCAUGCAAAUACUUCAUCUGUUUAUCACUUAAAAUUGCAGGAUUCAAGAGCUCCAUAUUUAAUUUGGUCAGAUUGGUUUCUGCCAUGUUUGCAGUAGUUGUUUAUCACAUGGCUUUAAAAACACGUGUUUUUCGCGUUAUAGCGUUUCUUUUAUGUCGCAUGUUUAUGCAGCAACACACUAAAAAAAAACUCUGGUGAGCAAGCUACUUAGUAGCUGAAUAUUUUUUGGAGUUUAAUUCAUUUGAGCAAAGUAGAGCUCACUCUCCUUUUUUUCUUUAUCAAAUCCUGAUAUGCAAUUGCUAAUGACAACCAUGCCAUCCUUUGCAGGGUCAAACUUGAAUUGCUCAUGAUAUGAUAAUUGCUGUGGUUUGGGAAGAGAACUGCCUGGGGAAUUGAUGAUGAUCUCCCUCCAACACAAAAUAGAGGAUUAAGAUUUAAGAGGCAUGUUGCUGAUCUGAUGUUGUUGCUAAUAUGAUUGCUGAUUGCAUUGAACUACUUUGCUGUGGCUUUGCGUUUUCAGGAAAAUAUUUGUGAUUCUCGAAAUUAGUAGUAACAUAAACUUACUUGUAGCACAAAUUUCAUCAGAUAUAUAUUUGUGAUUGAGCAAUGUAAUGUACUGAAUUACUCCAGUAUCUGAAUGUUCCAGCAAGAGCAAGCUACUCCUUUUUUUGUCACAUUUAUGUUUUUUUGUCAGAGGAAUGAAUGGAUCAGUUC